rnacentral:rRNA from 1 species
UACGUAGGGGGCAAGCGUUGUCCGGAUUUAUUGGGCGUAAAGAGCGUGUAGGCGGCCAGACAAGUCUGCUGUGAAAACUCGAGGCUCAACCUCGGGCCUGCAGUGGGUACGGGCAGACUGGAGUGCGGUAGGGGAGAAUGGAAUUCCUGGUGUAGCGGUGGAAUGCGCAGAUAUCAGGAGGAACACCGAUGGCGAAGGCAGUUCUCUGGGCCGUAACUGACGCUGAGGAGCGAAAGCGUGGGGAGCGAACAGG